GACAGCUCUGGGCACUGGAGGCAGGUGGGAUGCAGCCCCUCACAGCCCCCAUGGCUUCCUGCCUGGGGCUUCUCAUCCUGUCCUCUUGUUUGCUUGCCGACUGCAGGUUCAUCCCAGAGGCCUGGUCGGCCUGCACAGUCACCUGUGGUGUGGGCACCCAGGUGCGAAUAGUCAGGUGCCAGGUGCUCCUGUCUUUCUCUCAGUCCGUGGCUGACCUGCCUAUUGACGAGUGUGAAGGGCCCAAGCCAGCAUCCCAGCGUGCCUGUUAUGCAGGGCCAUGCAGCGGGGAAAUUCCUGAGUUCAACCCAGACGAGACAGAUGGGCUCUUUGGUGGCCUGCAGGAUUUCGACGAGCUGUAUGACUGGGAGUAUGAGGGGUUCACCAAGUGCUCCGAGUCCUGUGGAGGAGGUGUCCAGGAGGCUGUGGUGAGCUGCUUGAACAAACAGACUCGGGAGCCUGCUGAGGAGAACCUGUGCGUGACCAGCCGCCGGCCCCCACAGCUCCUGAAAUCCUGCAAUUUGGAUCCCUGCCCAGCAAGGUGGGAAAUUGGCAAGUGGAGUCCAUGUAGUCUCACAUGUGGGGUCGGCCUACAGACCAGAGACGUCUUCUGCAGCCACCUGCUUUCCAGAGAGAUGAAUGAAACAGUCAUCCUGGCUGAUGAGCUGUGUCGCCAGCCCAAGCCCAGCACGGUGCAAGCUUGUAACCGCUUUAAUUGCCCCCCAGCCUGGUACCCUGCACAGUGGCAGCCGUGUUCCAGAACGUGUGGCGGGGGUGUUCAGAAACGUGAGGUUCUUUGCAAGCAGCGCAUGGCUGAUGGCAGCUUCCUGGAGCUUCCUGAGACCUUCUGUUCAGCUUCAAAACCUGCCUGUCAGCAAGCAUGCAAGAAAGAUGACUGUCCCAGCGAGUGGCUUCUCUCAGACUGGACAGAGUGUUCCACAAGCUGCGGGGAAGGCACCCAGACUCGAAGCGCCAUUUGCCGAAAGAUGCUGAAAACCGGCAUCUCAACGGUUGUCAAUUCCACCCUGUGCCCGCCCCUGCCUUUCUCUUCCUCCAUCAGGCCCUGUAUGCUGACAACCUGUGCAAGGCCCGGGCGGCCACCCACGAAGCACAGCCCGCACAUCGCGGCCGCCAGGAAGGUCUACAUCCAGACUCGCAGGCAGAGGAAGCUGCACUUCGUGGUGGGGGGCUUCGCCUACCUGCUCCCCAAGACGGCGGUGGUGCUGCGCUGCCCGGCGCGCAGGGUCCGCAAGCCCCUCAUCACCUGGGAGAAGGACGGCCAGCACCUCAUCAGCUCGACGCACGUCACGGUGGCCCCCUUCGGCUAUCUCAAGAUCCACCGCCUCAAGCCCUCGGAUGCAGGCGUCUACACCUGCUCAGCGGGCCCGGCCCGGGAGCACUUUGUGAUUAAGCUCAUCGGAGGCAACCGCAAGCUCGUGGCCCGGCCGUUGAGCCCGAGAAGUGAGGAAGAGGUGCUUGCGGGGAGGAAGGGCGGCCCGAAGGAGGCCCUGCAGACCCACAAACACCAGAACGGGAUCUUCUCCAACGGCAGCAAGGCGGAGAAGCGGGGCCUGGCCGCCAACCCGGGGAGCCGCUACGACGACCUCGUCUCCCGGCUGCUGGAGCAGGGCGGCUGGCCCGGAGAGCUGCUGGCCUCGUGGGAGGCGCAGGACUCCGCGGAAAGGAACACGACCUCGGAGGAGGACCCGGGUGCAGAGCAAGCGCUCCUGCACCUGCCCUUCACCAUGGUGACCGAGCAGCGGCGCCUGGACGACAUCCUGGGGAACCUCUCCCAGCAGCCCGAGGAGCUGCGCGACCUCUACAGCAAGCACCUGGUGGCCCAGCUGGCCCAGGAGAUCUUCCGCAGCCACCUGGAGCACCAGGACACGCUCCUGAAGCCCUCGGAGCGCAGGACUUCCCCAGUGGCUAUCUCGCCUCAUAAACACGUGUCUGGCUUCAGCAGCUCCCUGCGGACCUCCUCCACCGGGGACGCCGGGGGAGGCUCUCGAAGGCCACACCGCAAGCCCACCAUCCUGCGCAAGAUCUCAGCGGCCCAGCAGCUCUCAGCCUCGGAGGUGGUCACCCACCUGGGGCAGACGGUGGCCCUGGCCAGCGGGACACUGAGUGUUCUUCUGCACUGUGAGGCCAUCGGCCACCCAAGGCCUACCAUCAGCUGGGCCAGGAAUGGAGAAGAAGUUCAGUUCAGUGACAGGAUUCUUCUACAGCCAGAUGAUUCCUUACAGAUCUUGGCACCAGUGGAAGCAGAUGUGGGUUUCUACACUUGCAAUGCCACCAAUGCCUUGGGAUACGACUCUGUCUCCAUUGCCGUCACAUUAGCAGGAAAGCCACUAGUGAAAACGUCACGAAUGACAGUGAUCAACACGGAGAAGCCUGCAGUCACAGUCGAUAUAGGAAGCACCAUCAAAACAGUGCAGGGAGUGAAUGUGACAAUUAACUGCCAGGUUGCAGGAGUGCCUGAAGCUGAAGUCACUUGGUUCAGGAAUAAAAGCAAACUGGGCUCCCCCCACCAUCUGCACGAAGGCUCCUUGCUGCUCACAAACGUGUCCUCCUCGGAUCAGGGCCUGUACUCCUGCAGGGCGGCCAAUCUUCAUGGAGAGCUGACUGAGAGCUCCCAGCUGCUGAUCCUAGAUCCCCCCCAAGUCCCCACACAGUUGGAAGACAUCAGGGCCUUGCUCGCUGCCACUGGACCGAACCUUCCUUCAGUGCUGACGUCUCCUCUGGGAACACAGCUGGUCCUGGAUCCUGGGAAUUCUGCUCUCCUUGGCUGCCCCAUCAAAGGUCACCCUGUCCCUAAUAUCACCUGGUUUCAUGGUGGUCAGCCAAUUGUCACUGCCACAGGACUGACGCAUCACAUCUUGGCAGCUGGACAGAUCCUUCAAGUUGCAAACCUUAGCGGUGGGUCUCAAGGGGAAUUCAGCUGCCUUGCUCAGAAUGAGGCAGGGGUGCUCAUGCAGAAGGCAUCUUUAGUGAUCCAAGAUUACUGGUGGUCUGUGGACAGACUGGCAACCUGCUCAGCCUCCUGUGGUAACCGGGGGGUUCAGCAGCCCCGCUUGAGGUGCCUGCUGAACAGCACGGAGGUCAACCCUGCCCACUGCGCAGGGAAGGUUCGCCCUGCGGUGCAGCCCAUCGCGUGCAACCGGAGAGACUGCCCUUCUCGGUGGAUGGUGACCUCCUGGUCUGCCUGUACCCGGAGCUGUGGGGGAGGUGUCCAGACCCGCAGGGUGACCUGUCAAAAGCUGAAAGCCUCUGGGAUCUCCACCCCUGUGUCCAAUGACAUGUGCACCCAGGUCGCCAAGCGGCCUGUGGACACCCAGGCCUGUAACCAGCAGCUGUGUGUGGAGUGGGCCUUCUCCAGCUGGGGCCAGUGCAAUGGGCCUUGCAUCGGGCCUCACCUAGCUGUGCAACACAGACAAGUCUUCUGCCAGACACGGGAUGGCAUCACCUUACCAUCAGAGCAGUGCAGUGCUCUUCCGAGGCCUGUGAGCACCCAGAACUGCUGGUCAGAGGCCUGCAGUGUACACUGGAGAGUCAGCCUGUGGACCCUGUGCACAGCUACCUGUGGCAACUACGGCUUCCAGUCCCGGCGUGUGGAGUGUGUGCAUGCCCGCACCAACAAGGCAGUGCCUGAGCACCUGUGCUCCUGGGGGCCCCGGCCUGCCAACUGGCAGCGCUGCAACAUCACCCCAUGUGAAAACAUGGAGUGCAGAGACACCACCAGGUACUGCGAGAAGGUGAAACAGCUGAAACUCUGCCAACUCAGCCAGUUUAAAUCUCGCUGCUGUGGAACUUGUGGCAAAGCGUGAAGAUAGGGUGUGGGGAAAAUCUCUACCCUGGCCACACGAAGGACUCACGCAACCAUCUCGGACAGAACCUAAGCUUUCUUCAUUUUAUUUAUUUAUUUCCCCCUCCCCCCCCCACACACACCCUUCCAACCUCCUCCACCUCCACCUUCAAGCGUAAGGACGUCCGCGUGUUUUCUCUGUCAGUUAGCUGGAGGACAGGAUGUUGGGAAAGGAAAGGACAGAUGUCUAAAGGAGGUUGCAGAGCAGGCCAGGCAUACAGUGGGGGCUCCCUUGAAGAGCUUCCUCCCUCCCAAACCUGGGUCUCAAAGACCUAGAAAGAGGCAGGCACAGCCCCUGGGGACAGCAGGGAGCCAGAAGGUUUGUAGCCUAUUGGUGCAAACAUUGGACAAAUUCCUGUGUCUUUCCUAGAAGCGCACUAUCACAAACACAGGAGUGUUUCGCUCCUUUGUCUCCUCUUCCCCAUCUAUGUCCCUUUAGUCACAGUUAGGACAAAUGGGGAGGGGACACCAUGCUGAGGCAGAAACUAGCCCAGAACAUCAGUUCUUCUAGUGGGUGAGUGCAGAGAGAGAAGAACUCAGAUCACCAGUAGGGAGAGGUAAAAAAGCAAACAAAGCAGGCUCUAAGGCACACAACAUUGCAGAAAAUGAGGAAGGGAGGGGAGGGAAGGGACAGAAGCAAAAAGGAGCCUGUGGUGUUCCCCAGUGGGGCACGGUGAGCAGGGGCUUCCAGGCUGCAUGAGGCUCAUGGACCAGCUCUGAUCCCAUGCAUGUGCGCAUGCUCAGAGCCCUGCUGCCCACAACAGAGCACUGCGCUGCGUGGGAGUCCCCACUUCCCAGGCUAUCAGAGUCAACGUCCUGCCUGUGCAGCUGCAGCAAAGCCAGUGAGAGGUGGGUCUCGCCAUGCAGUAAGGCCACCCUGGCACCUCUUUAUCUAAAUCCGAAGUCCCCUAGCCCCGCACUAACUGCUGCUGUGGGCCAGGGCCAUUUUGAGCACGAAUGGCCCAGGUUUUUUGCCUUCUAGGACCUUUGCUGCUCCACCGAAGGGCCAGGGACUAUGGUUAACUUAUCAACAUCAACCCAUUAACUAGUCACUGUGCCAGAGAGUAUCUGUCAGGCUGUCAGGUUGUAGCAACCUCUUCAUUCCAGAGCUGGCCCAGGGACCGGGGUGGACAACGGGUUUAUGCGUGUCCACAGUACACCCUCCCUCUCCCAGCCUCCACCCCAGGGUCUGCAGGUCCUCCGGCAUGUAGUAUUUAUCUAGCAAGGCGGGGUGGUGGAGGCAGCACCCUGGCAAAGCAGCUCACUCACUGCAGCCACACUCAUCAGCUGUGGUGAGGCGGCUGGAGCAAAGUCAAGCAGCAAAAUGAAAACUCUGGGACUCUUCGGCAAAAUCCUCAUUAAGCCGAGCAGCUUUGGCCAAGUAAUUUUUGCCUCCUUCCCUAGCGUGGCCUGAGUUUAGGAGCAAGGGUGGCCAGAGUCCCUUACCCACAGAUAAGCCUCCCCUCAUGAAAUGCCACUCACCCCGGGCUACCAUUGACAUCAGGGCUGCAUUUCCAGCCAGCCUGGAAGUAAAAUUUGAGAGGAAGACAAUAUUAAUCUGUGUCCCCACCUAGUGAGCUGUGGACAGUUUUAAGUUGGGUCUCUUUCUUCCUCACCACAAAAACAGGCUCUAAGAAAUCAUGUUACUAAAAAAUCAGUGUAAAGUCUGUUUAAAAUAAAAAAGAAUGGUUUCUAUGUCUGUAUAUCUUUUGUGAAUAUUUAUUAGGAUUUCUUAUUAAAAAAGUGCAAUAUUAAUAAUUGUACAUUGUCAUCCAGAAACAAAACUAUUGGGGGGACUUUAUUAACUAACUUCCUGCAGUUGUGUUCCUGUAAACUCAGUAGUGAUUAUUAUAUUUUUCCUAUUUUUAAUAGAACCUGGUGUUUAACUCUGGAUCCAUUCACUGUACAGGAUGUGUUAUAAAAACUAACAUGGGAUGCUGAGGCAGUAAGAGGGAAUUCAUUUGUGGCAUAAUAGUUAUGCAUGGAAUGAUAAAGACAGACAAAUUCCAUACUACUACUAAUGUGGUUAAUUAUUUCUAGUUCGAUAGUGAUUGAAAAUCAGUGGUCACUAUUUACAUUUCCUAAAGAGCAAGCAUCCUCCAGCUCCAUGUUGGGUUGGAGCAGUUGGCAGUGGGUCUCAGUGAGCUGGCAGAACCUAGGUUUGGGUGGGAAGCAGAAUGCUUGUUGCAUGAAAUGAAUGUACAUUUAAUGUUUGUUCUGUGAACUGCAACUCAGCAGCACCACAAGACAAUGAAGGCUGCUGGCUAAUGUGGAAGGAGGCACUUUCUCCUCUAAAACACAAAACUGUAUUUGUAUUUUUUGUACAGAUAAUACAGCUUAUUUAUUU
rnacentral:sRNA from 1 species